AACCCAUGGUGAGGGCACCUUCUAAAUAAAUCCUUAUAUCCAUGCAUCAUAUAGGGUCUUUAAGUCCAUCUGAACGAAGGAAGAGAUAUCAUUCCUCAGCUU
rnacentral:snoRNA from 1 species